rnacentral:rRNA from 1 species
GAACGGGAUUAGAUACCCCGGUAGUCCACGCCGUAAACUUUGUGCACUAGGUGUGGGAGGCGUCGACCCCUUCCGUGCCGAAACUAACGCAUUAAGUGCACCGCCUGGGGAGUACGGCCGCAAGGCUGAAACUCAAAGGAAUUGACGGGGGCCCGCACAAGCGGUGGAGCAUGUUCUUUAAUUCGAUGCAACGCGAAGAACCUUACCCAGGCUUGACAUCCCGCGCUACCCUUGGAAACAAGGGGUUCCCUUCGGGGACGCGGUGACAGGUGUUGCAUGGCUGUCGUCAGCUCGUGUCGUGAGAUGUUGGGUUAAGUCCCGCAACGAGCGCAACCCUUAUCCCUAGUUACCAGCGGUUCGGCCGGGCACUCUAGGGAGACUGCCGGUGAUGAACCGGAGGAAGGUGGGGAUGACGUCAAGCCAGCAUGGCCCUUAUGUCUGGGGCUAGAAACGUGCUACAAUGGCCGGUACAAAGGGCUGCGAGAUCGCGAGAUCGAGCCAAUCCCAAAAAACCGGUCUCAGUUCGGAUUGUAGUCUGCAACUCGACUGCAUGAAGCUGGAAUCGCUAGUAAUCGCGUAUCAGCCACGACGCGGCGAAUACGUUCCCGGGCCUCGUACACACCGCCCGUCACGUGACCUGAGUCGGGUGGAGCUGACGUCGCUGACCCAACCC